CCGGAAGCAGCCCUGGCAGAAGAGCGGUUGUGGCAGCUUUGGCCGAGGUUCGAGCUCGAACUUGGAAAAUGCUAAUGGCGCCUCAGGGAAGGUCCUCCUCAAAGAAGAGGAUGGGGCUGAAUCGCUGGAAACGGUUCACAAGGAAGCCGAGUCCCCAGCCUACUUUUGGUCCUGACAAUGUGGAACACUGGAUAAAGAGAGUGGAGAAAGCCUCAGAAUUUGCAGUGUCAAAUGCCUUUUUUACUAGAAAUUCAGAUUUACCCAGAAGUCCCUGGGGCCAAAUCACAGAUUGGAAAACAUCUGAGCAAAUAGAGGAUCAUGAUGAAAUCUAUGCAGAAGCUCAGGAGCUGGUCAAUGACUGGUUAGACUCCAAACUUAAGCAAGAAUUAGCAAGUGAUGAAGAAGGUGAUGCUAAAAACACUGUGUCAAGUGUCACUCUUGUGCCGGAAGCCAAUGACCAUUUGAAAUAUGACAAGUUUGAUGAUUUAUGUGGCUAUUUGGAGGAAGAAGAGGAAAGUACCACCGUUCAAAAAUUUAUAGACCAUCUGCUCCAUAAAAAUGUGGUAGAUUCUGCAAUGAUGGAAGAUCUUGGAAGGAAGGAAAACCAAGACAAGAAGCAGCAGAAGGAUCCUCGUCUUACCAUGGAGAUGAGACAUAAGCAGGUAAAAGAAAAUCGCUUAAGACGUGAGAAAGAACUGGAGUACCAGAGAAUACAAAAGACCCUGAAAAAAUCGGCCUUCUUGGAGGCUCAGUGUCUGGUGCAAGAAGAGAAGAAAAGGAAGGCUCUGGAGGCCAAGAAAGAGGAAGAGGAGAUUCAAAGGGAGAUGGUGAAGCUGCGGAGGGAGAUAAUUGAGAGGAGAUGCACUGUGAAAGAAGCAUGGAAAAUAGAGAAGAAAAGGCAAGAAAAGAAUUCUCAAAAUAGUUCAGAAAAACUCAUGUUUCAAAGUACUCACAUUCUUCUGGAUGAGGAAAAAAUGGCAAAAGAAAGAAAAAGGAAAUUGAAAGAAUUAUUAAUCCAAACUUUCAAAGAAAAUCAACAGUGUCAAAAACGGUAUUUCUCUGCCUGGCACAAGCUGAUUCUUGAUCAUAGGAUUAAGCUGGGGAAAGCUGGGACCCUGUCUGACUGGAAGAUUCAGCUGAAGGUCCUGCGGGCCUGGAGAGACUGCACAAGAUCCCAGAAGUUGCAGCGGGAGACUCAAGCCUUGGAAAAUGAUCUUAGGGAAGAAAACAGAAAACAACAACUGGCCACUGAGCAUAACCGGAAACAAGUUCUCCGACACUGCUUUACAGAAUGGCAACACUGGUGUGGCGCCGAGCUCCUGAAGAGAGAGCUGGCUCUCACAAAAGAGGAAAAUAGGAAGAAGAUGGAUGCACUGCUGAAGGCAGCAUCACUGGGGAAACUCAGUGCCAGUGAGUCAUCAGGCAUCAGUCUCCCCGAGGAGGCAACAGCCGUGGUGGGUCCACCAGUAAGAAAUGGACAGGUGACUGCUGUGCCCCGUUUGUGGGAAAAGCCUCCCUUGGGAAGCAGUGAUUGUAUGCUCAGUCCUCCCCUGGGAAGAACAACAGGCAACUUGCAGGGUUCCCUUCAGAAUGUCCCUUUGACUGCACCUGGCAAUAAGCAGCACAAGACCCUGGGUGUUGAACCCCCUCAACUGCCUGGCAGCAACGAGACGCUCAGAACCACCAGCCAGAAAGCAGAACCGCUUUGCUUGGGUCAUUUCCACAGCCGCCAUGUCUUCCAGCAGCAGCUGAUUGAGAAGCAAAAGAAGAAACUUCAGGAACAGCAGAAAACAAUUCUCGAGCUGAAGAAAAACCAGCGGCUGGCAGAGGCUCAGUGGGCAGCAGAGCAUGCCUCAGCAAUCACAGACGCACAGAGCCACCUGCUGUCAAAGCCCAGAGGAGAAGAGGAACCAAGAACCUGCCAGAUGCUUGUGAAUUCACCUGUUGCUUCCCCUGGGACUGAAGGCAGUAGAAGUGACUCCCGAAAUUCUCUUUCUGGACGCAAGAGGAAGCCAAAGCAAUUGAUGACACCACAUCCCAUACUAAAAGCUAUGGAAGAGAGAGCAAUUCAACGGGCUGAACGUAGGCGAAUCUUGGCAGAGAAGAAGAAAAAACAAGAAGAAGAAAAAUUGGCCCAGUUAAAGGCCCAAGAGGAGGAACGUCAGAAAAGGGAGGCAGAAGAAAAGGAGGCACAGCUUGAAAGAAAACGAGAAGAGAAGAGACUGAAGAAAAUGAAAGAACUUGAGAAGCAGAAGAGAAUUAAGAGGAACCAGCAGCUGGAAGCAAUAGCCAAAGAACAUUAUCAAGGUGUCUUGCUAAGGAAAAAAGGUCUAGAGCCUUGGAAGACAUUGAGAAUGCAAAGCAAACAAAACGUCCAGGUGGCAGAAGAACAUUACUGUUUGUUCCUGCAGAGGAAAUAUCUGCUGACCUGGUUCCAGUGUAGUCAGGAAAGUCUGGCUAGAAAGAUGGCCCAGGCUGAUCAAUUUUAUUCCCAAAUACUACUUAAGAGAGUCAUCCGGAGCUGGCUACAGUACAUGACUGAUCUGCAGGAAGAAGUAAGAAAAUUUUGUGUACAUUUUCUUCAGAAGAAGAUUUUCAGGGCCUGGUUUAACAUGGUCAGGGAGGUGAAGAUCGAUUCUCAGGGCAAGCAUGAGAUUGCGGUGGAGCACAGUGACAGGUGAGGUUUUGAUCUUGAGGAAAAUUCACUCUCUGACUUCACAAUUGCUCAGCAAUAUAUUCUGCUCCUACAAUGUGUCUGCAAAGAUGAGCUGGGGGCUAGGAGAGCAGGGUACUUGGAAACACCAGGCAGGGGUGGGAGUCCCGGCUCACCGGCAAGGUGGUGAACCCCCUAGGACUCCAGGGUCCCCAUCUUUAAAAUGAGAAGGGGAGGAGGAGAAGACCUGCCCUUUUUUGCCUCACAGAAACUGGCAAGAGAAUAAAAUGAUGUGACCUAUAUGAAACACACCUAAGCGAAAGUACUGUAUUCUUUGUUAGUCAUAUAUAGUUUUCUUUUUUAAGUUGUUUCUCUUUCAACAUUAUUUAUUGUGAAAUAUAUGACAAAUAUAGAAAAGUGCUGAAAUCAUACAAAUACAGCUUAACAAAUGACUGUAAAGUGAACACCCUUUGUCACCACCACUGAGGUCAAAAAGUUGAACAUUGCUGUCACACAGGCUCCUUCCCAAGUCUCUCCUAAACUACUCUGACGUUUACAAUGAACAUUUCCUUUUCUUUUUACUCUCCUCCUAAGUAUGCAGCCUUCAAUGCUAUAGUUUUUCCUGGUUUGGAACUUUAUAUAUAUGGAAUCAUACUAUAUGCUAUAUUAGUACUUAAAAUACAGUUAUGUUUUAUUUAAUCCAGUUGUCUUUGAGAAAUAAGGUAUUCUGUAUAAGUAAGUUUUAUAUUUGUUUCCUAGUUUUAAGCAUUUGGACAGAAUGUUCUUAAUUUCAUUAUGCACUUCCCUUUAAGAGUGGCGAUUUGGUGUCAUUCUUUAUGAGCAUCAGUUAGUGUGCCGGGUGUAUUCAGUGAUGCCUCCAGUUUUUUUGAGGAAUGACGACUGUUGUGUGGGUGUAGAAGAGUGCCCCUUUUCUCAGCAUCGCUCUGUUGCCCAGGCUGGAGUGAUACUGUAACCUCUGCCUCCCGGGCUCAAGCGAUUCUCGUGCCUCAGCCCCCAAGUAGCUAGGAUUACAGGCACACACCACCACACCCGGCUAAUUUUUGUAUUUUUAGUGGAAACGGGGUUUCACCAUGUUGGCUGGUGCUGUUUUCUUUUUAUUGGUGUGUUUGUGCAUGGGUGUUUAUUUCUGUUCCUUGUAGUAGUGUUCCUAUCUUAUUGCCAUGAGGGUGCCUAUCUCCACCAAACCUGUUUGUCCUUGUUUAAGUUACAGAUACUGGAAAUCAGUGGAGUAGGAAAACAGAUAAGCAAGCUGAUUAUAGUUUUGUCUAAAUUAAAACAAAUAAGCAAUAAGUGAGGGUAUUCAGAGGAUUUCCCUUUGAAUAAAUGAUUGAGCUUUAGCGUUUGAAGUUUAGGACUCAAUAUCUAUGUGACCUUGAACAAAUAACCUUUCAAAGCCUCCCUGUUCCUCUUUCAUAAAAUGAGGAUAGCAACAGAACCUAUCUUAUGGAUUGCUGUGGACACUAAACAGGGUACUAUAAUAACUCACUCAGUGUACUGCUGGCCCAAAAUAAUAACUAACUUUUUUUUUUCAGUUUAGUGUCAUUGCAGAUAUAUUAUUAUUAAACAUCCUUUUUGCCUGCCUACGUUUUCUUUCUGUUUCUCAGCCACUGUAUGCAGACUGAGAGAUUCAUUUGGGGCUUUCGCACAAACUAUCUCAUCUGAUAGCAGUCAUAACUUGGGUGUGGGGAGAUGACCUUAUUUCCAUUUUCAGGCAAAGAAAUAAGCAACAGGCAGGAGGAUCCUCUGGAUCACAUUUCGGACAUGGAAGAAGUUUGUAAAAUUUAUGAAAGAGGAAAGAGUAAAAGAAGAAAG